AGGACGAACGCUGGCGGCGUGCCUAAUACAUGCAAGUCGAACGGUCUUUCUAUGGAAGCUUGCUUCCACUGAGAAGAUAGUGGCGAACGGGUGAGUAACACGUGGGUAACCUGCCCAUAAGAGGGGGAGUAACAUCCGGAAACGGGUGCUAAUACCGCAUAGUUUUCUUGAUCGCAUGAUCGGGAAAGGAAAGACGGCCUUUGUGCUGUCGCUUAUGGAUGGACCCGCGGCGUAUUAGUUAGUUGGUGAGGUAACGGCUCACCAAGACGAUGAUACGUAGCCGACCUGAGAGGGUGAUCGGCCACAUUGGGACUGAGACACGGCCCAAACUCCUACGGGAGGCAGCAGUAGGGAAUCUUCCGCAAUGGACGAAAGUCUGACGGAGCAACGCCGCGUGAGUGAAGAAGGUUUUCGGAAUCGUAAAACUCUGUUGUCAGAGAAGAACAAGUUGGAGAGUAACUGCUCCAGCCUUGACGGUAUCUGACCAGAAAGCCACGGCUAACUACGUGCCAGCAGCAGC
rnacentral:rRNA from 1 species